CCCUUAGAUGUUCUGGGCCGCACGCGCGCUACACUGAUUCAUGCACUAAGUAUGUAACCUUGGUAGAAAUGCUUGGGUAAUCUUUGAAACUGAAUCGUGCUGGGGAUUGGAGCUUGUAAUUAUUCUCCAUGAACGAGGAAUUCCUAGUAAACGCGAGUCAUCAGCUCGCAUUGAUUACGUCCCUGCCCUUUGUACACACCGCCCGUCGCACCUACCGAUUGAAUGGUCCGGUGAAAUCUUCGGACCGGGCGAUAGUCAGCAAUGACCGUUGCCUGGAAAGUUGCUUAAACCUUACCAUUUAGAGGAAGGUGAAGUCGUAACA
rnacentral:rRNA from 1 species